rnacentral:rRNA from 1 species
CAGCAGCCACGGUAAUACGGAGGGAGCUAGCGUUGUUCGGAAUUACUGGGCGUAAAGCGCGCGUAGGCGGUUACUCAAGUCAGAGGUGAAAGCCCGGGGCUCAACCCCGGAACUGCCUUUGAAACUAGGUGACUAGAAUCUUGGAGAGGUCAGUGGAAUUCCGAGUGUAGAGGUGAAAUUCGUAGAUAUUCGGAAGAACACCAGUGGCGAAGGCGACUGACUGGACAAGUAUUGACGCUGAGGUGCGAAAGCGUGGGGAGCAAACAGGAUUAGAUACCCGCGUAGUCCCUGUCUCUUAUAA